rnacentral:rRNA from 1 species
CCUACGGGAGGCAGCAGUGAUGAAUAUUGGUCAAUGGGCGCGAGCCUGAACCAGCCAAGUAGCGUGAAGGAUGACUGCCCUACGGGUUGUCAACUUCUUUUAUAAUGGAGUAAAGUUAGGCACGUGUGCCUUUUUGUAUGUACUUUAUGGAUACGGCACGGCUAACUACGUGCCAGCAGCCGAGGUAAUACGGAGGAUCCGAGCGUUAUCCUGAUUUAUUGGGUUUAAAGGGAUGGUAGAUGGGUUGGUAAGUCAGUUGUGAAAGUUUGCGGCUCAAACGUAAAAUUGCAAUUGAUACUGGCAGCCUUGAGUACAGUUGAGGUAGGCGGAAUUCGUGGUGUAGCGGUGAAAUGCUUAGAUAUGACGAAGAACUCCGAUUGCGAAGGCAGCCUACUAGACUGCAACUGACAUUGAGGCUCGAAAGUGUGGGUAUCAAACAGGAUUAGAUACCCCAGUAGUC